rnacentral:rRNA from 1 species
GAGCGAUGCUCUUCGGAGAAUAGCGGCGGACGGGUGAGUAACACGUGGGUAACCUGCCCUGUACACACGGAUAACAUACCGAAAGGUAUGCUAAUACGGAAUAACAUAAUAAAGUCGCAUGGACUUCUUUAUGCAAAGCUCCGGCCGGUACAGGAUGGACCCGCGUCUGAUUAUCUAAUUGGUAAGGUAACGGCUUACCAAGGCGACAAUCAGUAGCCGACCUGAGAAGGUGAUCGGCCACAUUGGAACUGAUACACGGUCCACACUCCUACGGGAGGCAGCAGUGAGGAAUAUUGCACAAUGGGCGAAAGCCUGAUGCACCAACGCCGCGUGAGCGAUGAAGGCCUUCGGGUCGUAAAGCUCUGUCCUCAACGAAUAUAAUGACGGUACUUGAGGAGGAAGCCCCGGCUAACUACGUGCCAGCAGCCGCGGUAAU